GAAAGACGAGAACGUGUUUGUUUCGUGUGCUGGUACGGGACAGACAUUACUCACGCUAACGCUGGGAAGAAAGUCGUUUGUAGAUCCUGCUUGAACAUGAACACGCAAACAAAAAUGAACCAAUUCGUACGUGCACGGCGAUUUGUUCCGAGAUCUGUAAAUUCAAUUACAAAGGACGGCCCGCCAGAGGAAUUCUGGACUCCAGGGACAAUUGUGAUAAAGAGCUCUUGUGAUAUGCAGGAUCCAUUUUGAUCUGAAGAGACGGAUGUUUUGGUUACGCUUCUGGAUGUCGAGCCAUGUUUCAGUAAUAGAUGAUCCUAAUCGCUCCAUGAAA